rnacentral:rRNA from 1 species
GAUGAACGCUGGCGGCGUGCCUAAUACAUGCAAGUCGAGCGAACGGACGAGAAGCUUGCUUCUCUGAUGUUAGCGGCGGACGGGUGAGUAACACGUGGAUAACCUACCUAUAAGACUGGGAUAACUUCGGGAAACCGUAGCUAAUACCGGAUAAUAUUUUGAACCGCAUGGUUCAAAAGUGAAAGACGGUCUUGCUGUCACUUAUAGAUGGAUCCGCGCUGCAUUAGCUAGUUGGUAAGGUAACGGCUUACCAAGGCAACGAUGCAUAGCCGACCUGAGAGGGUGAUCGGCCACACUGGAACUGAGACACGGUCCAGACUCCUAAGGGAGGCAGCAGUAGGGAAUCUUCCGCAAUGGGCGAAAGCCUGACGGAGCAACGCCGCGUGAGUGAUGAAGGUCUUCGGAUCGUAAAACUCUGUUAUUAGGGAAGAACAUAUGUGUAAGUAACUGUGCACAUCUUGACGGUACCUAAUCAGAAAGCCACGGCCAACUACGUG